AUUGAACGCUGGCGGCAUGCCUAACACAUGCAAGUCGAACGGCAGCACAGCAGUAGCAAUACUGUGGGUGGCGAGUGGCGGACGGGUGAGGAAUACGUCGGAAUCUGCCCAGUCGUGGGGAUAACUAGCCGAAAGGUUAGCUAAUACCGCAUACGACCGAGAGGUGAAAGCGGGGACCGCAAGGCCUCGCGCGAUUGGAUGAGCCGACGUCGGAUUAGCUAGUUGGCGGGUAAAGGCCCACCAAGGCGACGAUCCGUAGCUGGUCUGAGAGGAUGAUCAGCCACACUGGAACUGAGACACGGUCCAGACUCCUACGGGAGGCAGCAGUGGGGAAUAUUGGACAAUGGGCGCAAGCCUGAUCCAGCAAUGCCGCGUGUGUGAAGAAGGCCUU
rnacentral:rRNA from 1 species